CGCGUCUCUCAUACUAAGGUAAAAUAUGAUGGGGUUUACCAUGCCCCUCUAAUAGGUUGGUCCACGAAAACCCGCCCACUGUAGUAAGCUAAUCAAUUACCCCCCCAAAUCAAUAAAAAUUUCGGCAACAUGACAUGGCUAAUAUGAUAUUUGCCAGCUUGUUAAGGUAAAUUAAAACAGUUCAUAUAUUCCACACAAACACAAAUCCAGCCAUUCAUGCCAUCACAUUGUCAUAAGCCAUCAAUUCAAACCAUAUAUCAAACACGAGUAUAUAGUCUCCACAUACUCAAUUUCCAAAACCAGUAUUCAAUUUCAAAACAAGUUUAAAUCUCAUUUCG
rnacentral:lncRNA from 1 species